CCAUGCUUUCAAAGAACUCAAGGAUGUUUUCACGGGGACCUUGGUACACAAUCUGACCCUCACAUAGUAAGAUAAUGGCAUCAAAAAGAUCAUAAGUUUCAGGUGCGGGUUGGAGAAGAGAGAUUAUCAUGGUUACUUCCAUGAUAUGAACCAUCUGCCUCAUAAACUUAACAAUCUGAAAAGUGGUGGAACUGUCCAGACCAGUUGAUAUUUCAUCCAUGAAAAGAGCCUUUGCUGGUCUAACCAACAUUUCUCCUGCAUUCAGUUUCAUCAGUCGUAUUAGGCUUUUGUCCAGUGUUAAAAAUCUUAAGAACAGGGACUCCUCAGAAAGCAGACAAUUCAUAAUUGAUCGGUAGCUCAAUUCAAAUUGAAGGCAAAUGCUUUACCACUAAGUUGGAAGAAACAAUUGAUAUAGGACAUAAUCAAUGGAAAUGGGGCACAUACCAGUAGUAACACGCUUCUUUUCUCCACCAGAAAUGCCCCUUCUCAUAUCGUCUCCCACCAUAAUGUCAGCGCAGAUAUCUAAUCCCAGCAUCUGUUACACAGACAAUGUUAAAGAGCGUAAAGCUUGGGAAUGUAACUAAUAGGUCAGGCACCAAAUGGAAACGGAGCUACAAACCUUGAGCACGUAAUCUGUAACCAAAUUAGUUUCUGUUGCUCUCAUGAACGCAUCUAUCUCAGGAUCUGGCUUAAUUCCAGCUUCUUUUUCUCGUCUUGACAAUUCUGCAAGUAGUUCAUAUCUGGUUCCAACCCCCAAACAUCGUCCUGAGAAGUCCAACGUUUCCCUAACUGUCAUCUCACCAUGGUGCAGAUCAUGCUGGCCAAUGUAAGCACAUGUUCUCUGAGGAACAAACUCUGAUGAUUCAUGACCACAGUAUGUGAUUCUUCCUUCCAUCUGUCCAUAAACACCGUACACAACAGAGCUACUAGUUCAGGAAUCGGGACUAUCACCAUCACUAAAUAAUUCAAAAUUCAGGAACAGUCUGAGGACAUGGGCUGAAACUUGGGAAGGAAAUAAUAAUGACACAGUGAAGGAUCGAAUUGGAUAAAAAUAUUUGUCAGAAUGUAAGUUGUGGGGGACAACAUACCCUUAGAUCUUUGUUCAUCUUCCCAGCAAGCGCCUGUAGCAGGGUAGUUUUUCCUGAGGCUGGAGGUCCCAGAAGCAGAGUCAUUCUGCAAAACACAGAAGCUAAUCAAGAAACCGGCAAAGAAAGGAAGUGUACUUAAUGGGAAAAUUUUUUGUUAUCCUAUUAAAAUUUCCCAGAAUAUGUAUCAAUCAAAUUAUAUAAAGACAUCAUUCAGGAGAUUUGUGUUAAGGGCAACAUGAUUGAUUGAAAGGUACUUCCAAAAAUGGAAUACAUUUACCUUGAUGGUUUCACGAUCCCACUCACAUCUUUUAGUAUCUUGACUACCCUUUUCUUAGAUGGGGAAAGCCUAAUCAGUCCAAGUAUUCCCUGUUCAUGACAACAAAUAAACACAAUCAUAAUUCAUUCAUCUCUACAAAUUCCAACAGUCUACUGAAUUGAAGCAAACUUCUCCCAAAAACAUUAUCAGGAGAUUGAAGUCAUUCAUCAUAAUUUGCUGAAAGGGAAAAUCAAGAAUCACCAUCGAAAACAGAAGAAGAAAAACAAAGGGACAAACAGAACAAACCACCUCUAUGAAGUUCAUGGUAGAAUUGAUCAGAGUAGGAAGUGCCCUGGUUCCAACAUAUGCGUCUCCUUCUAUUGAUAAAUGCUCAAACCGGACUUCGAUUUUUGGAAUCUCAACCCCAACCCUGUUGAGAAAACAGAUGUUACGUUCCAUAAAACUUUUCUGGUAACAAAUUCAACUGGGGCAAAGCCAAAAGCAAAAAAACACAUGACUAACAGGGUGAACUUCAUGGGAAGAAAGAGAGAAGAGUGACCUAUCAGUCCUUUCCCUGAGCCUGAGAAGGAACUUCUCAUUAUCUUCUUCAACAACCUUUGGUAUACUCUCUAUGUGAUGCUUCCUCUCCUGCAUACCAAGAUUGGUGAAGUCAACUUCCUCAUGGACAACCUUCCCAUCAUCCAAAACUUGCUUAGGCAUCUCCUUGCUCAACCGCUCAAAGGUUGGAAGCCUUUCAAUGGCCGCCCACUUCAAUUCUUCCUCAUCAUCCUCUCUCCUACUCCUCUGAAAAACAUCACCUUGAGCUGACAACGCCUCACAAAUACUCGCAGAAGCCCAACUACGCCUACUUCCAGACGAUGAACUUUUACGCCUGCUGCUCAUGGAACUUGCUAGAUCAUCCUCAGCCAAUGAUGCAGCCAUUGUCCCCCACCAAAACCCCUCAGAGUAAAGACUCCAAACCCCACUUUAUAAUAACCCUGGAAAGCUGAGAUUCAACCGGUAAGCUAGCUCAACACGCUAGAGAAGGUUUCGAUGGAAUGGUGAUGGAGUGUUCGCCUGUUAGUUUAGGAGAGUUGGCGGCGGAAACCCCUCAGAAUAAAGACUCCAAACCCCCUUUAUAAUAACCCUGGAAAGCUGAGAUUCAACCGGUAAGCAACACGCUCGAGAAGGUGUCAAUGGUGUCGGAGUGAUCGCCCGCUAGUUUAGGAGAGUUGGCGGCGGCGGUAGUCACUGCCUGCGUGGAGCCGUUGUUUGUUUUAAAGUCACAUCAUAAAAAAUUGCCUUACAUGUAAAAUUCUUUUAUCAAAAAUAAAAACUAAAAUAGAAAAUUUGCCACCUCUACAAAAAAAAUAUAAAUUUAAUUUUUCCAAAACAAAAUUAUCAUUUGUCAUUAAUUACUAAUAAUAUAUUAAGAUUGAACGAAAAUUAAAAAAUAAAAUAAAAUCUCAUUUAAUAUUUUUCGUAUUUAUUCCUUUUUAUACUCUUGUUUUAGGGUUGAUUUAGCUAAAUCGUAAAAAAUAAUACUUACUAAGUUUUUAUUAACUAUUUAUAUUUUUACUUGGAAGCAUGAAUAUAAUAUGAAUCCAUCAAAAUUUAGCUAUUAAGUUAUGGGUGUUUUAGUGAUGUAUCAUAUAAAAUAUAAAUUUUAAUUGAAAGACUUUACUUUCAACUAUCUUAUAUUUAAUUAUUUGAAAAAGAAUAAGAAUUAAGAUACUGAUUUUGUAUCUAUGAAAAUCUUAAUCUCCAUUUUUAAAAGUACAUAUAAAAAAUAAAAAUAAAAAUCUAAGUUUUUGAAUGUAAGUACAAAAAAUGAAAUCAAGUUGUAAAACACGAGACUUAACACACACGUCUUCUAUUUGAAAGAUAUCAAAAUUUAUAAUAGAAGUUAUUGAAUUUUUUUAAAAUAAUUUAAAAUGUUUUUGCUAUAAAAUGAUUAGAAUUAUUGAUCUAAUGAAUUUUUUUUCCUACUUUUUAAUUCUUUUAAACAUUUCCUUUAAAUAUUCUUGAUCAUUUUAUUUAUAUAAAGUCCAAAAAAAAUUUCAAGUGUACUUAUACCAUGGUUGUUUAAUUUAAUAUAUUUUUAUAAUUAAUAUUUAAAAUUAUUUACUUUUUAAUAAUAAUAUAAAAUAUCAUUAAUUACCUUAUAAUUUAUAAAUGAUAAUUACAAUAUAAUAUUCUUAGUGGAUGUCCUCGUGACAAAAGUCUUGGGUGGACAAGUAUAUUGCCUUUUAAAUUAUUUUACAAGUCUCGUUAUUUCCGCCCGGAUUUUUUUAUAAUUGUACCGUGAAUUUAAAAUUAAUUUUUUAAAAUACGGCACUAUGAAAACUAUUUCCAAAUCUACGGCAUUUUGUAUCACUUUUUAAAGGUAUCUCUUGAAAAGACAUUUUACAUCAUUUUUAUAUAAAUGAUACAUGUUCAAAAAAAUUGAAUUUACAUUGAAGGUAUCUCUUCAAGAGACACCUUCCACAAUUUUUAUAUCAAUAACACAUGUUAAAAAUUUUGAAUUUACAUUAAAAGUAUCUCUUUAAGAGACUUUUUUUAAUUUUAUAAAAUUAAAUUUAUAUUAAAAGUGUCUUUUAAAUAGUUAUUUUUCACGGUUUUCAUAUCAGUUGCAUAAUAAAAAAAUUGAAUUUAUACUAAAGAUGUCAGACACACUUUCUAAAAUUUCACAAAAUUAAAUUUAUAUUAAAAAUGUCUCUUGAAGAGACACCUUUAACAAUUUUUGCAUCAAUCAUCCAUUGAAAUAAUUGAAUUUAUAGGUUAUGUUUGGUUCCCGAAAAGUAUUAAGAAAAGAAAAAAAUUGCUUAAGAAAAUAAUUUUCUCAUGUUUGGUUGUCUUAUAGAAAAUAAUAAAGAAAAUAAUAUAUAAGUAAGAUUAAUUAAAAAUUUAUAUAUUUUCAAAUUAUUUAAUCUUUAUAUUGAAAAGUGAAAAUAAGUAAAAUGAGUUUGAAGUAGCAUGUAAAAAUAAUUUAUUGAUUUUAAAUCCAUUGUUAUUUUCCCUCAUUUUUUCUUUCAUUCUAUUUUCCUUUCUAUUUUCUUUCCCUUGUAUUUUCCUUUACAUUUUCCAGGAACCAAACAUAGCCUAAAAGUGUAUUUUCAAAAGACACAUUCCACAAUUCCAUAAAAUUAAAUUUAUAUUGAAAUGUUUUCCUUCAAGAAACACUUUUAGUAUAAAUUUAAUUUUUUUUUAUAGGUGACUAAUAUAAAAAUUGUAAAAAGUGUUUCUUUAAAAGACACAUUUAGUAUAAAUUCAAUUUUGUGAAAUUGUAUAGACUCCUUCAAUGUAAAUUUAUUUUUUUUCACUGUGUAAUUGAUAUGAAAAUUAUAAAAAAUGUCUCUUCUAGAGACAUCUUUAGUAUUAAUUUGAUUUUAUGGUAUUGUGGAAAUGAUAUUUUUUUAAUAUAAAUUUAAUUUUUUUUUAAUAUAUAUGACUAAUAAAAAAAUUAUGGAAAAGUGUCUUUGGAAGAGACACUUUAACAUAUAUUCAAUUUUAUGGAAUUAUGGAAUGUAUCUUUUCAAGAGACUCCUUUUGUGUAAAUUUAAUUUAAUUUUUUUUAACAUUUAUGGUUGAUAUAAAAAAUAUAGAAGAUGUCUUUUCAAAAAAUAUAUUUCAAAAUGACAAAAAAAUAUAGUAGAUUUGGAAUUAUUUUUUAAAGUACUAUUUUUUAAGAAUUAUUUUUUUAAAUAGCCGUACAAGUUUAAAAAGCCCGUCCAGGGCUGAGAACUGGAAAAAGGAAGACGGUCCGACACACUUGAUAAAAGGAGACAAGACUUUGGUCAUGUAAUUCCAAAUCUAUCGAAGGAAAAGGUAUUAAUUUGAAAGAAAUCCUAAUCAUUGACUCGGCUUCCACAUGUAUUUCUACCAUCAUCCGACCACUCAAAUUGGUUUUUUUAUAUUUAUGAUUUUCAUUGAUUUCUGUCCAACCCAAACCUAUCGAAUUAAAAGAGGAAAAGGUAUAUAUUGAUUAAAAAGAUUGGAAAGAAGUACUAAUCAUUGACUGAUAGGCUUCUUCACCAUCUAUAACAAAAGAAAUAUUUGGUUAAAAGGAUGAAAUAAUUCUCAAAAUUAAAAAUCUAACCCUUUUCAUAUUUUUUUUGAAAAAAUAAUUCAUUUUUUAUAUAAAUAUUAUUUUCUAUUUUAAGUAUUUAUAUGUAGGUUUUAAAAGAAACGGUUGUUUUUACAAGAAAAUAAUGAGAAUAUUUUUGUCCAAAUGAUACCAAAAAAUGGGUGAGAGGUUAAAUUUCAAAAGUUGGAUUUUGAGAGGCCCUUUUAAUCAAAUAACCCUUUACAAAAAUUCCUUUUCAGGUCACUCUAAUUAAGGAAAUAGACUUUUGUUUUAAAAAAACCUUUUUUGGGCAUUUUAUUAAAAAUUAACUUUUUGGACAAUUUUAUUCACAAAACGAUUUUUUAAAUCAUUUUUAUUAAAUAAAUAAUUUUUUUUUUGUUUUUUUAGGACAAUUAUUAUUAAAAACAAUUUUUUGAAAUUUUGGAUUUUUGGAUAUUCAAUUCUGUACCCAAUGAGUAAACAUAUAUAAAUGAAUAUUUACGAAUCAAUAGGAAUAAAACAAAAUCUUAACAAUGAAAUGAGUCCAUGUAAAAACAAAAAUAAACCAAAAUAAAUAUUCAAAAAUAUACAAAGUCUAAAAUUAAACUUUAAAUUAAUCCAAUAAAUUUCACCAAUUAAAAUAGAUUUAAAUUGAUAAAUAAAACCCAAUAAAAACAUCCCACAUAUUAUUAGUCUUAAUCCCAGAUCUGCAAAUUAAUCACCAAAACACAAACAUAAUCAUGAAAAUUUACUAAAAAUACCAAAAAUCUUCUCUUUGGUUCUAAUACUUAUUUUGAAAACCAUUUUUAAUUAUAAAUUUCCUCUGCAAAGUGGAUGGAGAUAUUGGCCUUAUAUCUCCUUUUUCAUUCCUCUCUAUUGUUCCUGAUCUGCACCAUUGUUGGAUCUGUUAAAAUCUGGAGAAAAAUAAGGAACUAAAACUUGUAGAAAAUAUUAGAGUAUUGAGUUGGAGAAAGGCACACAAUAUUUCACCAAUGAGAAUGCCUAUUUAUAGGCUUACAACCAAACUGAAAAUGCUAAAAACUCUCAGCUGCUAUGACUACUUCUACUAACAGAAAAACUGAAAAUUAUGGAGCAAAACUGAGUCUAACUAAGACAUUUUCAAAGGCAAACUCUCAUGAAUUCUAACACUCCUCCUUGAGAUUUGCCUUGGACAUACCAAGCUUCAACCUUAGGAACUCCAGCCUUGAUUUAGGAAGUCCUUUAGUCAUUAUGUUAGCAAGUUGCUCAUCAGUUGAGCAAUAAUGCAGCUUAACAAGUGAAUUCUUUUCAGCUUCCCUUAUGGAGUGGAAUUUUACAUUUAUGUGCUUGGUUCUGCCAUGUUGGACAGGAUUUUGAGUACUGGAAAUGGCUGACUUAUUGUCAUAGUAAAGCUCAGUUGGUGAGCUUUGUUCCUGGCCUAAAUCAGUAAGCAAUUUUCUCAACCAUAUUACUUGAUUUGCAGCAGCUGCUAAGGAGAUAUACUCAGCUUCUGUAGUUGAUUGUGCCACUACUUCUUGCUUUCUUGAAUUCCAGCAUAUGACACCUGAACUGAUUGUAAAUACAUAACCUGAAGUGCUCUUCAUAUCAUCAACACUUCCUGCCCAAUCACUAUCAGCAUAACCAUCUAGCUUAACUCCUCCUGUCUUUAAAUACCAAAUGCCAAGAUUUGUUGUACCUUUAACAUACUUUAGCACCCUCUUUGCAACUCCCAUGUGAACAUUUCUAGGUGAACUCAAGAACCUUGAAAGCAAACUAGCUGGAAACAUCAAGUCAGGUCUGGUUACUGUCAAGUAUAGUAGGCUUCCCACCAAGCUUCUAUAUGCAGAGGGUUCCUCAAGUUUCUCACCAUCAUUCUUUGAAAUUUUCUCAUUUUGUGCCAACGGAGUUGCUACUUCUUUGCAUGAUUCUAGCUUGAAUUUCUUGAGAAUAUCCAUAGCAUAUUUUCUUUGUGAAAUGAAGAUACACCAGCUGCAUUGGUAUAUUUCCAUUCCAAGGAAGUAGUUCAUGAUGCCAAGGUCAGACAUCUCAAAUGCAUCAUGCAUUUCCAUUUUGAAAUCAGCUAGCAAUUUUACAUUGCUUCCAGUCACUAGCAUGUCAUCAACAUAAAGUGAUACUACCAGUUGCAAACCAUCAUCAUUUUGUUUCAAAUACAAAGUAGCUUCAUUUUCACUCCUCCUAAAUCCAAGUUGGAUCAGAUGAGAAUCAAUUAUGCUAUACCAGGCCCUUGGUGCUUGCUUCAAACCAUAGAGAGCCUUAUGUAGCUUGUACACUUUAUGUUCAUGGCCAAUAACCUCAAAGCCUUUUGGUUGUUGAACAUAAAUUUCUUCAAGAAGUAUACCAUUUAGAAAAGUUGACUUGACAUCUAAAUGGUAUACUUUCCAUCCCAUUUGACCAGCAAGUGCAAGUAGUAGCCUUAUAGUGUCAUGUCUGGCUACUGGUGCAAAUGUAUCACCAUAGUCCACUCCAGCAACUUGAGCAAAACCCUUCACAACCAAUCUAGCCUUAUGCCUGAAGAUUGAACCAUCUGAAUUAAAUUUGGUUCUAAAAACCCAUUUUACACCAAUUACAUUCUUAACUUCAGGUAGUUCUGUCAACUUCCAGGUUCCAUUUCUUUCAAUAGCAUCAAUUUCAGCUUUCAUGACCUCAAUCCAUUCUAGAAAUCUUGCAGCUUCCGUGUAACAUGUAGGCUCAGCAUGUACAAGAUUGCACCUCUCAUACACAUCAGAUAAUGGCCUCAUCUUAAGCACAAGUGUGUCUGAAGUUGCUUCAACAUCAAGUGGACCUUCAAUGAUUAUACUUUCUAUUGCUGGUUCAAGAAUAGAUGGAGUGGUUUGAUCACAUUUAUGAACUUUCUUCAAGUCCCAAUUCCAGUAGGAGUUUUCAUCAAAGUCCACAUCUCUACUUAUCACGAUUUUCAUUCUACUCAAGCUAUAAAUUCUGUAACCUUUUGAUUCAGCUGCAUACCCAACAAAAACACCUUUCUCAGCUCUUUCAUCAAGCUUCCCUCUCUUGACAGAUGGCACAUGAAGAUAACAAAAUGAACCAAAAACUUUCAGGUGCUUGAUAGAAGGUUUUACACCAGACCAUGCCUCUAUUGGUGUUUUGCUCUAAACAGACUUAGUUGGUAGUCUGUUAAGCAAAUAUACUGAGGUGUUGACUGCUUCAGCCCAUAGAAGUUUUGGUAGCUUCUUCUCGAAUAGCAUGCACCUUGCCAUCUCCAUCACGGUUCUGUUCUUCCUCUCAAAGACUCCAUUCUGUUGUGGUGAGUAUGGAGCUAUUAGUUGGUGUACAAUUCCAGCUUCUUGACAAAAGACAUUUAACUCUUUUGAGAUAUACUCACCUCCAUUAUCAGUUCUAAGCACCUUAACGUUCUGGCCACUUUGAGUUUCAACCAUUUUCUUGAAGCUUUUGAACACAGAGAGCACUUGUGACUUGGUUUUUAGAAAAUAAACCCAAGUCAUUCUACUGAGAUCAUCAAUAAAUAAUGCAAAAUACACAUUGUUGCUCAAUGAGGCUGUGCUCAUUGGUCCACAAAUAUCUGAAUUAAUUAAUUCCAGCUUGUGAGUAGCUUUCUUGGACAUAUUUUGAGGGAAUGGUUGUCGUUGUUGCUUCCCUAGCUCACAACUUUCACAAGUUUGAGCAUUAACUGAGAUUUCAGGCAUGUCUUCAACCAUACCAGCUUCUUGCAUGAACCUCAGUGACUUCAAGUUGAAAUGACCAUAUCUUUUGUGCCAAACAACACUCUCAUCAAUCUUGGCACUAAAGACAUGACCUUCAACUAAAUCAAGCUUCAAAUAAAAGUUAUUUCCAUUCAUUUUAAUUUUUGCUAUCUCUUUUCCAUGUACAUUAGUGAUAAAACAAAAAUUUCCUUUGAAAAAGACUGCAUAUCCAUUUCUUAGCAUUUGUGCAACACUAAGAAGAUUCUGAUCUAAAUCUGGAAUGUAAAGAACAUUAGUGACAAUUUUUGUACGUCUCUUGGUGCUGAUAGCAAUUGUCCCUUUUCCUUUGGCCUGCACAACUUCACCGUUUCCCAACUUGACCUUUGGUUGAACUGAUCUAUCAAUGGAGGUAAAUAUUGACAGAUAUUUGGUCAUGUGACUCGUGCAGCCACUGUCAAUGAGCCAAGUAUUCAGUUCAUGAGAACUCAGUUCAUGAGAACUGAGUGCUUGUGAUGCCAUAAAUAAAUGCUCAUCAUCAUUUUUGUCUUCUUCAGUCACAUUUGCAUUUUGUUUUGGUUGUUGUUGAGAUUGUUUUUUCUUGGCUCUGCAAUACUUCUCACUGUGGCCAAGUUUAUUGCAGAAAUUACAAUUAAAGAGAGGUUUACCUUUGUGCCAACAAUCUUUCUCAGCAUGGUUGGUUCUUCUACAAUGAGAGCAAGACGGAAAUUUUCCUUUUCUUGAAGACCCUUCAGCUUUCUCUUUGUUGUUCUUGAAGAACUUCUUUCCUUGCAAGUUUCCAGAAUUCUUUCCCUCGUGAUUUGCUUGAAAAGCACCUUCAGUAGCUUCAUCACCUCUCAUUAAGACCCUUUGCUCUUGUGCAUGAAGCUUGCUGGUUAACUCUACAAUUGUGAGAGUUUGCAAGUCACAAGACUCUUCAAUUGCAGAAAUCUUGGCUUCAAACUUUUGAGGCACUAAAACCAUGAUCUUUUCUACCACCUUUUGAUCUGUAAAUGCCUCACCAAGAAGUCGUAUUUGGUUUACAACAUCCAUUAACCUGCCAGAAUAAUCUUUGACAAAUUCAUCGUCUUUCAUCUUCAUCAACUCAAACUCUCUCUUCAAUUUGAGGAGUCUAACAGUUUUGAAUCUUUCACUGCCCUCAAAUUCACCUUGGAGCUUGUCCCAUACUAGUUUAGGUGUUUCCAAGUUCAUGAUUUUGGUGAAGAUGUGGUCUGUAAGUCCUGAAUGUAGGCAGGUGAUGGCUUUGUCUUUCUUGAGUUUUUCUUCCUCAUAUGCUUUCAUCUGAGCAACUGUAGGAUUUGCUCCCAAUGGUGGUGGAUCAGCUUCAGACAUCACAACAUUCCACAAACCUUGAGACCUUAAAUAAAACCUCAUCUUGACAGCCCAAAUGUGAUAGUGUUCACCAUUAAACACUGAAAUUACAGAGGAAGUAUUGCUAGAAGGAGACAUGUUUGCACCACAGUUGCUUAAAAAAAAAUAGAUCACUCAACCUCACUAGUGUUUGCACUCAACCUCAUUGUGUUUAAUACUAAAAAAAAAACUUUGCCUCAUAGCCCGUAGGAAUAAUGCUCUGAUACCACUGUUAAAAUCUGGAGAAAAAUAAGGAACUAAAACUUGCAGAAAAUAUUAGAGUAUUGAGUUGGAGAAAGGCACACAAUAUUUCACCAAUGAGAAUGCCUAUUUAUAGGCUUACAACCAAACUGAAAAUGCUAAAAACCUCAGCUGCUAUGACUACUUCUACUAACAGAAAAACUGAAAAUUUUGGAGCAAAACAGAGACUGAGUCUAACUAAGACAUUUUCAAAGGCAAACUCUCAUGAAUUCUAACAGGAUCCUCAUGAUCUAUUUCCACCAAGUCCCACAAGUCACAUGCUUGCAGGUACGACUCCAUUUUCACAUCCCAUAUUUGGUAAUUUUCACCUGUGAAAACUGGAGGUGCAGACAAAAAUCUAUUUCUGCCAUAUCGGGUUUCAAGAGGAAGGAUGGGUUUUGAUUUGUUGUGGUUUAUAUCUCACUUGAUACACUCUCACACUACACAGGUCCCAAGUCAAAUAUGAAUUCAAAAAAUUCAAACUAAACUACAAACUGUUCCUCUAUCUUGUAGAAUACUCUCAACAGAAUACCAGCUUAAAUCCUGCAGCAAAUAUAGCACUUGUCAUCACUAACUUUUGGUUAAAUAAUCAUAUUGAGUCGGUUUACAACUGAAUUUAUUUGGAGGGAAUGCAAUGCAUAUCAAAAAUAAAUACAAGGCAGCCACUUCUCAUUUUGUCAAAUGUAAAUCACUCAUACUUGUGUAUGCAAAUGAAAAAGAAACAAUCAUUUUCUGAGACUUUCCUUUACCUCCUUUGGAAGUUAAGGAACUUAAUGCCAUAGGCAAAGACAAACAAGAAGAGGAGGACCCAACCAAUAUGAGCCAAGGCAACCGCUCCCAAGAAAUCAUAUUCAAAGCCUGAAGCCUCCUUAAGAUACAGCUUCACUGACUUCACACCUGCUCCAGGUACCUGAACCGGAUCCUCCUUGUUGCCCACCUGAGAUGUCACCAGUCCGUAGAUGGUCCAAGCAACAGGGGAAGCCCAGUAGUACCACCUCCACCAUAUCGGUAUUUGCUGCAGAUGUACAGUUUGUUAGAAUUCAAUAUUCUUCUACAAAAACAUACUCAAAUUCUUCGUAGGCAUACACACCAUCCUAGGGAUGAGAAAACCAGAGAAGAGAUUCCAAAAGCUUAGGAAGAAGGACAUAACAAUGGCAGCAAUUUGAUGGCUGGGAGUGAGUGCUACGAUCAUCAUUCCAUACAAUGUGAAGUAAAUAAAGCACAUGAGUAGGUAGUAGUAGAACCAUAAGAACUUAUCCACUCGCCAGUAGAAUCCCAUCAUAGAGUAGAGGAGAAGACUGUAAACCAAAGUUUGGAUUGCAACGUAAAUUGUCUCUAUGACCACCUGCAGGGCAUCCGAAUACAGAUUAGUUUAAAGUUAAGCUCUACUAGAAAUGUGUCUGUUUCUUGUCAGUUUUCUCAAAAGGCAACCUGGGCAAAUGCGUAAGGCAAUGCUGAAUACAUCCCAGCUGCCCUUUCGCGGUAGAAGACUGUUCUCUCAAUUGCCACAACAGGCUGCACUGCAGCAGUGUUGGUGGCUCCAAGGAAGAAGACAGCUGAAAACAUAGCUCCCAGCAGAUUUAGUAGGUCUUGCUCUUUGUCUCUGCAUACAAUAGUUGGGGUGUUGGUUCACAUUUUUUCUUAAUUAUUAAUGGAGAAACACCAAAAUAAUAAAUUUGCAAUACUUACAUCUGCUCUCCUUUGUUCCAGAAAAUUACUCCAAAUAGAACACCAAUAAUUAUGGUCAAGAAGAACCGGAUAGCAUUAUAGGGAGGAUUCCUCCAAUAAGACCAGUGCUGUUUCCAGAAGCAAGCCUUGCAUUGAGUAAAAAAGCUUUGAGAGUAUUUGGUGGGGAAAUAAAGGUUUUUGGAUCCUGGUGAUGGUGUGCUCAGCUCUUUGAUGAGUUCCUGAUUCCUCCUGCAACAAAAGGGGGAGUGCAAUAAAUCAUCGGAAAAAGAAUUGAGACAGAAAGAUGAUGUUCCAAGGAAUCAUAAACCACUUACUGAUAGAGUUCAGAUUUAGCAUAAAUUUCCGCAAAAUCCACACCAAGUUGAGCCUCAUAUGCAGCAGAGGUGACCUCCAGCAUCCAUGUAGCAGGAUUUUGACCAUCUCUGACUUUAGGAACCCCCGGGACAGCCUGCAGCAAGUUAUGGAUUUGAUCAUGACACACUCCUUAUAAGUAUAACAAUGGAGAUGGAGCAAGUUCACUGAAGAUGAAUAAUGCUCACUUCAAAGUACUCUACAAGCUUGUGAGAAUUGCGACCAAGAGGUCCAGCAUAAAUGACUUGUCCUCCUCUCUUCAUCAGCAGUAGCUGCAGGCAAAAAUGAUGUUGGGUUGAAGAAAGGAAUGGUGACUCCAUGACAAUCAUACCAGUAAGAAGUAUUAGAUACAAAACCAUGAAACUAAGAAAUACCUCAUCGAAUGCUUCAAAGAUGUCUAUGCUUGGCUGGUGAAUGGUGCAGACAACAGUCCGCCCUGUAUCCACUGUGUUUCUAACAGUACACAUAACAACGGCAGCUGCUCUAGCAUCAAGGCCUGUCGUUGGCUCAUCCAUGAAGAGGAUGGAGGGGUUAGCAACCAAUUCUACUGCUACUGUCAGCCUCUUCCUCUGUUCUGUUGAAAGCCCAUGUAUUCCUGGAAGGCCAACCAAAGCAUCCCUCAGGGGGUGAAGCUCAAUCAAAUCCAUUACUUCCUCAACAAACACCUAUGCCACAGAAGGAACAAAAAAACAACUGAUGAAUAUAGCUUAUAAAAGGGUGAACUAAAAGAAAAAUCAUUCAUUUGAAAAAAGGACAUGCCUGCCUUGUUUCCUUCUUGACAUCCGGAGCAAGGCGCAGCCAGGCAGAGUAAACAAGAGAUUCAUAAACAGUUACAUUUGGAGAAUGUAUAUCAUUCUGCUCACAGUAACCACUAAUACGAGGGAAAGUUGCUUGGUCUUUGGGGUAACCAGAAACGCUGAUACUUCCUUCAAUGUACCCACCAGUUUUCCUUCCUGCUAACACAUCCAUCAAAGUGGUCUUUCCAGCACCACUAACACCAACUAAUGCCAUUAGAAUACCUGGCCUGAAAGCACCGCUAGCAUCCCGCAGCAGUUGGAGACGAUCCACUUCAAUUCCUUGGCUCUUCAUUCCCUGUGAUUCAAUCCAUAAAAGAGUUUCAAAGCUCUAGACCAAGAUCAUAUCCUAACACAUAUAUUAGUCUCACUUGUGUGUCUAAAUACUCAAAACAAGUUACUUACAGCAGGCAUAUCAACAUAGUAAUUCACAUGCUCAAAUGCAAGUGAUAAGGGCUGGAAGGGCAACACCAUUCCCCUUUUAGUAGGUGCAUGAUUUGCAUCUUUGACAACUGAUUUGGUGUUUUCUCUAGUGUUCCUUACUUCCAUAUCAAUACCUGUUACCAUAGGCCUACUAUCAACUUCCAGAUAAAGAAAAUCUGAUGUUUAUGUUAUUUGUAAUGUCUAGUAUCACUAGGCUCUUCAAGAAGUGAUUAACAAGAAUUUUGUGAGGGUCAGGUAAAAAGCUGGUGUCUCCUAGAGAAGGAGAACCAAUAGCAAGAAGCAAGUUUUAUGCAAUAUAAUUUCUCAAGAGCAAGUUCAGAAAUUGUAGAACCAUACAAUAAUAGUUGAUGAAACAUUAUUAAUAGCAACAUCUUCUCCUCUCUGCAAAGGGAAAUUUGAUUUUAGGCUAUCAUGCUACUGGUUUUUGGCAUUGAUAAACCACUCAGUUUAUUGAAAAUGAACACCAUAAGGUGGCAAUCAGAGGAGAUUUGAUUCAAUGGAAAAACUAGAUAUUAACUGCUUGGUUAAUAAAAUAUAUAGAAACGCUAGAAGACAAACAAACAACCAAAAACCAGAGGAGAUCAAAGUAGGUAAAAUCUUGAACCUUCAGACAUUGGGGCAGUAGAUGCUGAAUUUCUUUCUGGGGUGGUCAGAUCAUGCUGCUUGUUAGAGUAAAACUGCUUCUCACUCUUUUCUUCAUCAUCCUCAUCAAUAAUGACAGAUUUUGAGUCACCCGGAGCUGCAUUUGAGUUUCAGAAAAUUGUCAAAACCAGAAUCUUAUUUAAAUAACACUCAGUUCUGACUGAUGGAUGAUAAUUCCAUGACUAAAACCAUUGGAGGGAAGGAAAAAGGAAAAUGGAGGUUAGUAUAAGCAAUAACUAACGGUUCAAAUAUGUCAGAGCUGCAAUGAAACAGAUAUUGAAGAGCAGAGAAAACCCCGUGAGUGCACCAAUACAAAUCCAAUACCAAUAGCCAUCCACAAACAUGCCUCUUGCCUUGAGAAGGGCUUUUCCAACUGUGGGUUCUGGAAUUCUUCUAUCGAUGUUGGGCUGUGCCAAAAACCGAUUAGCGUAUACAAAGACAGACCAAGUAAUGAAGGCAGAAAUGCCCAAGCUUAAAACAAAGUGAGAAACAAUCAUUCAAAAGCUACUAGGAAACCUUACCGCACUCCAUCUGUCAUCAAGAAAUUCAUUGAUGACAAGCGCAUUUUGUCCAUACAUCAUUGGAGAAGCAUAAUAUCCCCAUAUCAUCCAUGGUUCAAUAUCAUCUGAGGAAGAAGAAGAAACAAAUGGUUUAUUAAAUUAUCACUCAUAUGAUAUAAUCACAUGAAGAGUGCCCCUCGAUCUCCCUUUCCAUUUGAAAUAUGGCAUCAGUGUUGCAAAAACAAUCAGCUCAGUCCAUAGCAAAAAGACACAAAACACUGACCUUUGGCUACAAUGAAUCCACCCAGAACAAAAACCAGUAGCAAUGUAAAGGUACCAAGAGUGUUGGCCACAAUCUGUGUUCUUCCAAGAGCUGCAAUGAAGCGGAAGAGAGAUAGAGCCAUCUGAUGCACGCCAAAGAAUGCCAGUAAUUGACGGAAAAACCUGAACAUUUUUCAAGUCUUGGGUUGUCAUAGUUCCAUUUGUGAAUGCUAAGACAAGAUUCAGGAAGAAUGGAGGUCCAUUCACAUACCUACUAGCAGAAGGGGCAAACCCAAUAGUGUAAUACGUGAGAAUGAUCCAUAUCCCUGACUCCGUGAAUGACAAGGGGAUCCUAAGGACCCAAAUUGGUAAUGCAAAAGCCCAUGCCGGGUAAAACAAGAAAUCCCUCUGCUUAAAAAACACUGGGAGCCUGAAAAGAGUCAAUGCAAGCUCUGCCAUUCCGUUAAACAUUACAUUUAUGAGACUAUAAAACAGAGCCCCAUAGAAUUUUACUCCAUUUUGCAGUUGGCCAUGCUUCAUUUCUGUUCUGAAGAACACUGUCAUGGCAAUUACUGACAUGAUUGUAAUCUGGGUUGUCUUGAAUAUGUAUAUAAAAGAGUUGCGCUUCAUCAAUAGCCACUCCCUGGCAAAGCAUGCCUUGAAGAGUUCCCAGUUGGAGAUUCCAUACUUUUCUGUCACCAAUGCUGUAGGAUGGGUUCUGCUCUUAUUGUAAGGGAUUCCAAGGUCGUCUGAAAGCUUCUGGCCAAUAUGGAAAGAGUUGAAGUGUUGCACAAACUCGGGCACUGAGAUAUAUUUGUAAGGUUUAUUGUUUCUGAACCAGUAUUGUUCCUGGUCCUUUCUGGAAGUCACCUCUUGCAAGAAGUCUGCAACUCCUUUUCUUUUCGGGCAUUUGAAGCCCACGCUCUCAAAGAACCCAAGGAUGUUUUCACGGGGACCUUGGUACACAAUCUGACCCUCACAUAGUAAGAUAAUGGCAUCAAAAAGAUCAUAAGUUUCAGGUGCAGGUUGGAGAAGAGAGAUUAUCAUGGUUACUUCCAUGAUAUGAACCAUCUGCCUCAUAAACUUGACAAUCUGAAAAGUGGUGGAACUGUCCAGACCAGUUGAUAUUUCAUCCAUGAAAAGAGCCUUUGCUGGUCCAACCAACAUUUCUCCUGCAUUCAGUUUCAUCAGUCAUAUUAGGCUUUUGUGGAAUAUUAAAAAUCUUAAGAACAAGGAUUCCUCAGAAAUCAGACAAUUCAUAAUUGAUCAGUAGCUCAAUUCAAAUUGAAGGCAAAUGCUUUACCACUAAGUUGAAAGAAACAAUUGAUAUAGGACAUAAUCAAUGGAAAUGGGGCACAUACCGGUAGUAACACGCUUCUUUUCUCCACCAGAAAUGCCCCUUCUCAUAUCAUCUCCCAACACAAUGUCAGCGCAGAUGUCUAAUCCCAGCAUCUGUUACACACACAAUGUCAAAGAGCGUAAAGCUUGGGAAUGUAACUAAUAGGCCAGGCACCAAAUGGAAAUGGAGAUGCAAACCUUGAGCACAUAAUCUGUAACCAAACUAGUUUCUUGGCCUGCCAUUGCUGUUGCUUUCAUGAAUGCAUCUAUCUCAGGAUCUGGCUUAAUUCCAGCUUCUUUUUCUCGUCUUGACAAUUCUGCUAGUAGUUCAUAUCUGGUUCCAACUCCCAAACAUCGUCCUGAGAAGUCCAACGUUUCCCUAACUGUCAUCUCACCAUGGUGCAGAUCAUGCUGGCUAAUGUAAGCACAUGUUCUCUGAGGAACAAACUCUGAUAAUUCAUGACCACAGUAUGUGAUUUUUCCUUCCAUCUGUCCAUAAACACCGCACACAUCAGAGCAAUGAGUUCAGGAAUCAGGGACUAUCACCAUCACUAAAUAAUUCAUAUUGGGAAGGAAAUAACAAUGACACAGUGAAGGAUCGAAUUGGAUAAAAAUAUUUGUCAGAGUAACUUGGGGGGGCCAACAUACCCUUAGAUCUUUGUCCAUCUUCCCAGCAAGCGCCUGCAGCAGGGUAGUUUUCCCUGAGGCUGGAGGUCCCAGAAGCAGAGUCAUUCUGCAAAACACAAAAGCUAAUCAAGAAACCAGCAAAGAAAGGAAGUGUACUUAAUGGGAAAAUAUUUUGUUAUCCUAUUAAAUUUUCCCAGAAUUUGUAUCAAUCAAAUUAUAUAAAGACAUCAUUCAGGAGAUUUGUGUUGAGGGCAACAUGAUUGAUUGAAAGGUACUUCCAAAAAUGGAAUACAUUUACCUUGAUGGUUUCACGAUCCCACUCACAUCUUUUAGUAUCUUGACUACCCUUUUCUUAGAUGGUGAAAGCCUAAUCAGCCCAAGUAUUCCCUGUUCACGACAACAAAUAAACACAAUCAUAAUUCAUUCAUCUCUACAAAUUCCAACAGUCUACUGAAUUGAAGCAAACUUCUCCCAAAAACAUUAUCAGGAGAUUGAAGUCAUUCAUCACAAUUUGCUGAAAGGGAAAAUCAAGAAUCACCAUCGAAAACAGAAGAAGAAAAACAAAGGGACAAACAGAACAAACUACCUCUAUGAAGUUCAUGGUAAAAUUGAGCAGAGUAGGAAGUGCCCUGGUUCCAACAUAUGCGUCUCCUUCUAUUGAUAAAUGCUCAAACCGGACUUCGAUUUUUGGAAUCUCAACCCCAACCCUGUUGAGCAAACAGAUGUUACGUUCUAUAAAACUUUUCUGGUAACAAAUUCAACUGGGGCAAAGCAAGCAAAAAAACACAUGACCAACAGAGUGAACUUCAUGGGAAGAAAGAGAGAAGAGUGACCUAUCAGUCCUUUCCCUGAGCCUGAGAAGGAACUUCUCAUUAUCUUCUUCAACAACCUUAAGUAUACUCUCUAUGUGAUGCUUCCUCUCCUGCAUACCAAGAUUGGUGAAGUCAACUUCUUCAUGGACAACCUUCCCAUCAUCCAAAACUUGCUUAAGCAUCCCCUUCCUCAACCGCUCAAAGGUUGGAAGCCUUUCAAUGGCCGCCCACUUCAACUCUUCCUCAUCAUCCUCUUUCCUACUCUGAAAAGCAUCACCUUGUGCUGACAACGCCUCACGAAUACUCGCAGAAGCCCAACUUCGCCUAAUUCCAGUAUGCUAAACUUUUACGCCUGCUGCUCACGGACCUUGCUAGAUCAUCCCCAGCCAAUGCUGCAGCCAUUGUCACCCACCAAAACCCCUCAGAGUAAAGACUCCAAACCCCCCUUUAUAAUAACCCUAGAAAGCUCAGAUUCAACCGAUGAGCUCAAGAUGCUAGAGAAGGUGUGGAUGAAAUGGUGAGUAGAUGAGAUUGAUGGGCAUGGAGUGAUGUAGGAGGUGAUGGAGACUGGGAAGCGGUAGAGAAGUGGGCAUUACUGAGUGGGAGAGGAGAGUCUUUUAUGAAGUACAUGAAAAAUACUAUAUUUGAUCACUUGUGAGCUCAGGAGAGUUGAGAGUUGAGAGUUGCUAGUGAGAGUUUCAUGUAAAUGAUUGCAAAUCCUCUUGGUCUUAAUUAUGGCUGGCACUUGGCAGAUAAUUGAGAGAGGGUAACUGUGUUUCGGCGUUGCGGUGUUGGCUUAACAACCACAAUAAAAAUAAAUUAAAAUUAAUUAAAAUUUCAUCCACUAAGUAAAGGAUAGACAUAUGUUGUUAAAUACUACUUUAUCCUUCACUUAAAAAUGUAUAAAAAUAACAAAUAUUUUGAAAUCACAUCAUACCAUUUCAAAAAGAAAAAUUUGCCUUACAUGUAAAAUUUUUAGCAAAAAUAAAAACCAAAAUAGAAAAUUUGCCCCCUCUUAAACAAAAAUAUAAAUUUAAUUUAAAAAAAUUUAAAAAUAGAAAAUAAUGAUAACUAAAUAUUUUUACCAAAAAAACUAAUAUUUAUCAUUAAUUACUAAUAAUAUAUUCAGAUUGAACUAUAAUUUUUUUAAAAAAAUAUUCAUUAUAAAAUAUGUGAAUUUAUCGGAUUAAGAGAACUUGUAAAUAAUCAUAUAUGUUGAUGUAUAUUUAUUUAUAACUCCUUAUAAAAUAGAGAUACCUUUAAUGAAAAUUCACUUUGUUCUCUUCCAAUGUUCUAUUAUACUUUUCUUGAAGGAUUUAUGUUUAUUCUCUCUUCUAUUUUUUUUUUAGUCGUUUAUUUUAUAACACGUUAUCAACAUGAUGCUCUGAGUAUGUAGAAGAAAAAAAGAAGAAUGAUUGAGAUAGAAAAAAUAGAAGAUUUCAUCUACAAAAUUUCUUACAGGUAUAUAUUCUUAUUUUCUUCGAAUGAAAUAUGAAAAGUAGUAUACAUUGUAUUAUUAUUAUUAUUUACUUUAUCUCAUAGCCAGAAGCUAUGUGAAUCAUAUUUCAUAUAAUUAUAAAUAUUUUAAUUAUUUAAUAACUAGAAGAGAUAUAUAUAUAUAUAUAUAUAUAUAUAUAUAUAUAUAUAUAUAUAUAUAUAUAUAAUCAUAACUAGAAGUUAUGAAAAAAAAAAUAUAUGUGCAAUCCCUAUAAUAAGAAGUUAUGGGGUAAAUUAAAAAAACACAUUCAAAAGUCAUGUAUAUAAUCCCUAAUUAUCUAUUUUAAAUUAUACAAUAUAAUUAAAAGUUAUACCAAACAAUAUUAUAUAAUCAGAAGCUAUAAAAGUAAAUAGUUCAUAGCCUGAAGUUAUGUACAAAGCUACAUAAUGAAAUUCAUAGCCUGAAGUUAUUCACAAAUUUAUAUAAAACUAGUUCAUAUGGUUGUUUAAUUUGAUAUAUUUUUAUAAUUAAUAUUUAAAAUUAUUUAAUUUUUUUAAUAAUAAUAUAAAAUACUAUGAAUUACCUUACAAUUUAUAAAUGAUAACUGUAACAUUUUUCUUCCAUCCCUUCUAACAAAAGUCUCUGGCUCCGCCAUUGGUUCACGAGUCUCGCUAUUUCUAUCUAACUUGCAUCUCAUUAUUUUGUAUUUUAAUUUUAUUAUUUAUACUGGAGUUUCAUAUAUUUCUAUCAUUAUCCAACCACCUAAAUUUUAGUAUAUACUUGGAAUAAAUUAAAGGGAGAAUUAUGUUUUGGACCCAGUUGGGUACAAAAAUUAAUCUUUGGUCCACAUAAGUUGCAUAAUUGAUGGGAAUGAUAUAAAAUUAUUAAGAGACUAAUAUACCCUUUAAAUUUCCAACUCAAAUGCUUUGAAAUUAAUGGGUUUCAUACAUGGUAAACUAAAAAUGGCAUGUCACCUUUCUUAAAAAUCUAACUUUAAAAUCCUGCUUGUUGGGUCUAUUGUCCAGAGAAAAGAAAUGGGUAUGGUUCAUGGAGAGAGAUAGUAAGCUUCGGGGAAAAAGAUUCUCUGAUGAUAAUGCAAUUUCUCCAUAAUAGCUAUCAUACGGAUCAAACAUAUCUUGAAAGUAAAUAAAAUGGUUGUCAUGAUUGUGAGGUUGGUCCACCACACGAAACGGAGAAAAUGAAGAACUCCGAUGAAGAUCUAAAGCAUCUUCAGCUAUGGUCGUCAUGAUGGCAGUGGCCUAGCAACCUCCUGUGAAGAUGAAAAUAUGCUAAAUAGGGUAUAUGCCCUUUUGAAGUAGAAUUGUGGGGUAAGUAUAUUUUCUAUAAUUCAAACCUAAGUUUGUAGAGGAUUGAGUGUGUUUUGAUUAGGUUUAGGGAUGAAUUGUGACAUUCAUAUUUGUGACAUUUAUUCUGCUAUGAUCCAGAGCACAACCCCAUUAAUUGUAUGAUUGAAACUCCUUUAUGUUUGAGUAGAAGAUUAAUAAUAUGAUUACUAGUAGUUGGGGAACAAAUUGAUACUUCAUUUUUUUCCUUAUGUUAUAAACCAAAACAUUACAAAUAUGGUUAACCUAAGUAUGAGCAGACAUUCAGUAGUAGUUGUUUGGAAUUUCUUCCUUUGUACAAGACGUUUACACGAAGUGUAUAAGGUAAAUAUGUUAACUAUACAAGGGUGUACAAAGGUACUAUGGACCCGCAUUUUUCACAUGUACUCCCACUCGAUCGGCAAGACUCGCUUUUAUUUUUUUGUGAAAAAUUUAACUUUGGAAAAGUCGAAGUCGUUACUUAUUUUAUUUUAUUAAAAGGGAAAAUAAAAUAAGAAAGAAAACCCUAAAGAAGUGACUCCAUAGUUUUUGGAAAAAUAUGUCUUUGAAAAACCUGAAUCUAGGUCCGGGGAUUAGGUUACCUAUUGGGAAGGUACCUCUAAAAGGUUUUAAUUACUGACUAAGUUGAGGGGAAUAAGACAAUUAAUUGAUUGAUUGAGGGUACCUAGGUAGACUGAGGUGAUUUAAAAAAAUAGCAUGCUAAACAAGAAAAGUCAAAUCAUGAUCAUAAAAGAGAUUUAGGGUGCAUACCUGGAUUGCUUCUCAAACGCUAUCACAAGACAUCAAAGUUAGUUCGAAUAGUAUAUCAUCCAACAUGCGCUUUAUCAGAAAUAAUAGAACAAUGAAACAUAUAUAUCAAGACAUCCAAGCAAUAUCAAAUAUAGGUGGAGUUCAUAGUGACAAGCAUAUUCACAGAAUUUAGAAGGUGGGUGUUAGGGGGCGUACCUAGAUAGCAUAAGUAACUUAUAAUGCGCUUCCACAAAACAUGAAGGGUUGGAUAAUAAAUAAUAAAAUAAAGAAAUCUUAGCAUGCUUAUCUAAUUAGUAUAGCAAAAAUGAUCAAAGUAUAUGAAAUAAUCAAUUAUUAUAUAAUUCCUAAAAAAUGUAUAAAUAGGAUUACAACAAGUGGAAAAUGUGGCAACAAAGAUGAGUUUUGAAAAACGAAAAGAUUUUAUGUAGGGGUUUCACCAAUUCCCCAAUUAAUAUACACAAAUCUAGCUUAGAAUCAUCCCAUUUAUUUGGGACCACAAGCUUUGAUUUGUAUUUUGUUCAAAACCAAAAUUUUCAUUGAAAAUCGAGAAAGAUGCGAACCGAUCAAAAGAUGGUUGCAUAUUAUUUAAGAAAAUGAGAUUUUGAUUCUAAGGACUCUAAAUGAGUUUUUGAAAUAGAUUUUUAAAGGGAUCUUUUGAGAAAAGUGUUAUAUUUUAAAAUAAGAUAAAUUAAUUUGAAAACAAUAAAACGUAUGAGAAACAGAAUACCAAGCAAAACAAACGGAAACAAAAUUACGAAGUAAAAUUUUUGGCAACCAAGAAAACUGAAAUGGUGUGAAUGGAGGCCAAUCAUCACUAUUUUCUGAUGGCCUCUGAAAAAUAAAAUUGACAAGAGACUACCAAAGUAAUAAACUAUUAAAACUUAGAUCAAAUAAGCUAACAUGAUACUCAUCGAGGAUUAAUGACUAAUUUUCAAGAAACAUGUCAAUUAAGAGUAACAAUCAAGAAUUAGCACGUGAUCAAUUAAACACACAAACGUAUCUAGACUGAUUAAAAAUGGACCAAAUUAAAUUAGGGCAAACAUGAAUUUUCAAUUAUAGAAUUAAUUUUAUUAGUGAGCUAAUAGUAUGGAAAAUACCUAAACUAAAUAGAUGAGUGAAGCUAAAUCAGAGUAAACUAAACACAGACACCUUCUAAUAUGGAAUUGAUUUUAUUAAUAACUUAAAAUUAUAAAAAAAAAACACCUAAAAUAAUUAAAAUGAAUCAAAUGAAAUGAAAGCAAGCUAAAACAAAAUAUGAAUUCAUGGAAUCGGGUUCCUAAAUAAAUUUACAUUAUUAAAAUGAAAUCUAAGCUCAAAAUGAAUUAAACACUAAUUAAAGAAAAUUUAAAAAUCAAAUAUUUAACACAUAAGAUCAAUUAUUUUAACCAAAUAAAACUUUACUUAAACCAAAAAUUAAAUUAUAAAAAUAUCCAAAAGAAAUUUUAAAACUAAAUUUCUAACCUAUAAAAUCAAUCUCAUUAACAAAUGGAUAAGUAGACAACACAUAAAUAAAUAAAUAUGACUAAAACGAAAUAUGAACUCAUGGAAUUAAUUUUUUUAAAUAAACUUACAUUACUAAAAUGAAAUCUAAACUUAAAAAUGUUUUUAACACCAAUUAUGGUAAUCCUAAAAUCUAAUAUUUAACACAUAAUAUUAACUAUUUUAAAGAACAAAAAUUUCACUUAAACCCAAAAUUAAAUUGAAAACUAUCCAAAACAAAUUUUAAAACUAAAUUUCUAACCUAUAAAAUUAAUCUUAUUAAUAAAUAAAUAAAUAGGUAAUGCGUGAAUAAAUAAAUAUAGCUAAAACAAAAUAUGAACUCAUGGAAUUAAUUUUUUUAAAUAAAUUUACAUUACUAAAAUAAAAUCUAAGCUUAACAAACGUUUUUAACACUAAUUAAGACAAGUCUAAAAUCUAAUAUUUAACACACAAAAAUCAAUCAUUUCGAAAAACUAAAAUUUACUUAAACCUAAAGUUGAAUCAAACUACCCAAAGCAAAUUUUUUUGACACUGAAUCUUUAACCCAUAGGAUCAAUCUUAUUAAUAAAUAAAUAAAUAACGAAUCAUUAAAUUAGUAGCAAAUAAAUAAAUAAAUAAUGAAUAAUUAAAUGAAUCAAAACCAAAUUAAACAAAGAUCAAAUUAUAUGUAUUUUUUUUCAAGGUUAAAAUUAUAUAAAAUUGUAUUUUCUAAAUUUAAUAUGAUAAAUCAAAACUAACUUUAAACACAAUUCUAAUCCUUAUGUAAUCAAUCAAAAUUAAAUAAGAGUGAGAUUCAUGCUGCCAUAAUAAGACACGUAUAUACUAAAGCUAAUAAAAUAAGUCAAGCCACUCAACCCAAUAUAGUAAUCCAACUUGAAAUAAACUAAACUUUGAAAACCCAUAUGUAAAAAAAUAUCUUACCUAACCGGCUGUGAUGAUGCCAAAGCAACUUGGUGGUGUGCGGCUGGUGUAGUGAAAAACGAGUAGAUGAUCAACCUAGCUAGUUGUGAUGCUCCCAAGGCAAACUGAUGGUGUGCGGCCGACGCGGUGAAGGACAAGUAGAGGAUCAACCUAGCCGGCUGUGGUGCUUCCAAGCAACCCGAAUGUGAGCGGCAUGAUUAGAGGUGGUGUGCUAGUGCAGGUCUCCAAUGGCGAUGGUACGUCAUUCUUUCAGAGAUAGAGAUGAUGUCGCAUGUGGACUGUGCUAGGCUGCAAGCAUCAAAGAUCACUCGUGACCUAUGUUUCGUCGCCCAAAACUCCUUUGAGACACUCCGACAUCGGUUUUCAUUAUGUCUUUGGCAGUCAUUCGCUAUAAUUUUCGAAUCAGAUUACACGAUGAAUGUAUGGGACCAUCCGCGUUGAGAAGAGAUGAGAAUGGAAUUUCAGUCUACUAUCUAUGGACUGAUCUCAAUGAGAAGUGGGUGGUUGGCGGGACUUCAAUGGUGCGGUUGAGUUGGAACCUUCCUCUCAUCCAAUGGUGCAGCUGCCCAUUUGCUCAUCCCAAUUCAAUAAGGAAGGUAUAUACUCUUCUUUUCCAUCACGGGGUGAAUAGCCGGUGAAUAUCAACAAGCAGUUGAGUAUGUGGGUUCCAAAACAACAGUCUGAAUCUCUUUUGAAACCUGGACCGAUUCUCUCUCAAAUAGCAGCCCCAAAUGCCCUUUUUCAAACAUGGACUGAUUUCUCAACUUGAAAAUGACAGCCUAACUUCCCAAAAUAAUCCUUCUGAAUCACCCUUUAACUCUCUUUCUCCAGAAUGAUGCCACUACCGCCCUUCAAUCGUGCGUCCUUUUUUUUUUUUUUUCCUUUAAUAUUUUCUCAAUCACUUUUUUAGACCCCCCUCCAUCCACGGUGAUGGAAGACACAACAGGAAAGGUCUUUUUUCCCACUUUCGGAUCACCCCCAAUUCCUUCCAAUCAUUCAUUUUUUUUUUCUUUUGUCUUUCAUUUUCUCUCUUCCUCUCACUCCAAUCUCCCAGCUGUCUCCAUCUUUCCUCUUAAUGGUGUCUUUCCUUUUCUUUUUAUAGAGAACGUGGGAUCCAUGCAAACAUAAUAAUAAAAAAUAAAAUAAAAAUAAAAAUAAAAGAAAACUAAGGGUUAGAAUAAUAUAAAAAAAAAACAUGCAACUAAGAAUUAAAAAUCCAAAAUAUGUAAUUUUAAACGAAAUUAAAAAAAUAUAAAUCACAUGCAUAACUUAAAAUGAAUUAUCAACUCAAACAACUCUCUAUCAAAAUAAAUUAAUAAAUAGAUAAAUAAACACGAAAUGAAUAUGAUUAUUAAGCUCAUGCAAUUUUCUAAAAAUAAGUAAAUAAAUGAAUAAAACUAAUAAAUAGAGAGAAAUAAUAAAAAAAAAAAAUCAAGCACAUGCAAGCCAUAUGAGCUAUGCAACCAUGCAAACCAUGCAUUCAUGCAAAAAAAAUGAUCUAGGGUGCCUAAGUGGGUCUAGGGUGCCUAAAUGGGACUAGGGUGCCUAAGUAGGUGUAAGGUGGUGCCUAAUGGGCCAAGUGUGUCUAAAUGAGCCUAGGGUGCCUAAGGGAGCCUAAUGUCAUGAACUUAGUCGUUUCCUAAGCUCGUGCGACACUUAGAUAAGUCAAGACGCUUGAUCUUGCUAAGUCAACCUUACUUCCAACGCUUAGCUUGCUAGGCAAAGAUGCUCACGACUCGGAAGCUUGAGAAGGCGUAAUAGGGGACUCUUAAAGAAUAGAAGCUUUAUUGCUUUCAAAUGAAGCUAUACAAUGCUUAGAAGCUCAUUUGCUUGGUUAAGAAGUGAUUUGGGUAGUUUUUGGGUGGUUUUUGGAUGGUCUUGGGGUGGUACCUUGGCCAAAUGAGGUCCCCUCCUAUUUAUAGGCACCAAUGAAACUCUCUGGAACCUUGGAGGGUUCCUUACAAAUCAAGAAGAUUCUAGAAUACCCUACAUAAUUCUAUGUACAAGAAUAUAUAGGAGAUUCCUAGAAUUCUCUAGAAAGCCUUAAACUCCUCUCAUGCCUUCCACCAUAGUGUAGAGAUGUGUGGACAUCUCUAGGCAUCUCUAGAACCUUCCACACUCUUCCCACUAAUGGCUAAGUGUAUAUGGCUCUAGGAGUCUCUAGAAGCAUCCUGGACUCCAUAUAAGCCCAUGGAGAGGCUCAUUUGAAGCAUCCUAUGACACUAAGGUGCCUAAGUGAGACUAAGGUGAUGCCUAAUGGGCCAAGUGUGCCUAAAUGGGCCUAAGGUGCCUAAAUGAGUCUAAGAUGCCUAAAUGAGCCCAAGGUGAUGCCUAAUGGGCCAUGUGCUUAAAUGGACCUUAGGUGCCUAAAUGAGGAUAAGGUGCCUAAAUGAUCCUAAGUUUAAAUAGGGCUGCCAAGAGUCAUAAUGGGGUUAGAUAAAUCCCUCAACCAAAGUCCCCAAGAUGGCUUAGAAAAGAUAGGCUACACGAAUAGUAAUGGGCCACUAGAGAAUUGCUGUAAAGUAUCAGACAAUUACUUAAUAGGACAUGUGCUAGGAGGACAAAAUUGAGGGUCAACAUGUACUUAUGUUGAAUGAUUUCAAAUCUUUUUAAAAUCAUUUCCAUUUUGUAAGGAUGAAGGACAUUCCUCACACACAUUCCUUGAUCAUGCACUCAUCGUAUUCAAUUUUAUUACUUUAUACAUGUUCAUUGGAUGACCUAUCGCACUAAUGAUGAAUAGGGACCUAUAUUAGGUUUCAUUUCCCCAAUUUCCCUUAGGCAUCACAUUGGAACAUGUUUAGCCCACCCAUAUGCACGCGUUCAGUUGUAGCUAUGUCAAAUUUUUACCACUAUACAAGGCAUUUACACUAAGUGUACAAGACAAAUGUGUUUACUGUACAAGGGUGUACAAGGGUACCUAUAUUGAAGGAUUUCAAUUCCUUUUGAAAAACUAGAUUUCUCAUCUUCCUUUUCUAAGGAUGGGGAAUAUUCCUCAUAAACAUUCCUCAUUUCCCUUCAUACACAUUCAUUGGAUGAGCUACUGUACUAAUGAUGAAUAGGAACCUAAAUUGGGUUUCAUUUUCCCUUUUUUUCGCUCAGCCAUGGCAUUGGAAUAAGGUUAACCCACCCAUAUGCACUCGUUCAGUUGUAGCUAUGUCGAAUUUAUGCCACUAUACAAGGCAUUUACACAAAGUGUCUAAGGCAAAUGUACUAACUGUACAAGAGUGUCUAUCUUAAGGGAUUUCAAAUGAUUUUGAAGAACUUACUCAUUUACUUUUUCCAAUCUUGGGGGACAUUCUUCUCACACAUUGCUUGACCACAUGCUCAUCACAUGCAUUUUAUUUGAUGUCCACCAUGUUCAUUCAUUCUAUUAGCUCAUCUACUAAUCAUGAAUAUGAACUGAAAUUAAGGUCAACUUUUUCCUCAUUUUCCCUAAUCCAUGAGAAUGGAAACAUUGUUUACCCACCCAUAUGCACUCGUUCAAUUGUACCUAUGUGAAAUUUCUACCAUUGUACAAGGCAUUUACACUAAGUGUAUAAAGCAAAUGUGCUAAUUGUACAAGGGUGUACAAGGUUGCCUAUCUUGAAGGAUUUCAAAUGAUUUUGAAGAACUCACACACUGAUUUGCAAUGAAUAAAAUAACCUUUGGGCCAUAUAAGUUGCAUAAUAAAGAGAGAUGAUAUAAAAUAUCAAGAGACAAAUAUACCCUUCAAAUUUUCAUAUCAGAUGUUUGUAAAAUUUGGGUUUCAUGCAUAGUCAACUGAAGUUUCCAUGUCAAAUCCCUUUAAAAUGUGUACAUGGCUAUGACCUAGGUCUAUUGUCCAAUAAAAUAAAUCCAGAGAGAGGAUUUGGGUAUGGUUCAUGGAGAAAGAUGAUGAACUUUGGCGAAAAAGACUGUGUGAAGAUCAGGCAAUUCCUUCACAAUUCCUUUGGGUCAAAUGGAUCUCAAAAGCAAGAAUUCUCUUAAGAUCUAAAGUAGUUGUAGCACUGGUAGUAGGGUAUAUGCCCAGUGAACUCCUUUGAACAUGAAAAUAUGCUCCACCUAUUGAAGUGGUUUUCGAGUUAGUACAAUUUCUGGAAUUGGAACCCAGGUUUGUGGAGGAUUGAGGGUGUUUUUAUUAGGUUUAGGGAUGAAUAGUCACAUCCAUAUUUGUCAAACUUCUUUAUGUUUGAGACCCCAUUAAUUGUAUUAUUGAAACUCCUUCAUGUUUGAGUAGAAGAAUAAUAAUAGGGAAAAUUAUUUUUGAAUACCAAAUGUUGUGCAUGUAGAAAGUCGGUAGAAGGGUUUUUCUUUUGCAUCAUUCACUGAUCUAUUUGUAUGAUUAUUAUGUAAGAAUCAUAGACUAGUAGUUGUUUUUGAAUAAUAUGAUGACUAGUAGUUGUUUUUGAAUAAUAUGAUGACUAGUAGUUGUUUUUGAAUAAUAUGAUGACUAGUAGUUGGGAAACAAAUUUAGACUUUAGUUUUUCCCCAUUCUAAGGUUGAGAGUCCAUGUAGUAUAGUAGCUUUGUGAAUCAUGACAAUUGAUAGCCUUGCAUCAUCAUUCACUGUAGGUCUUGUCCAAUGUGCAUCACAUGUGCUAAUACACUCACCAUGAGAAACUCAUCCCGACGGUCAAGACAAGUCAUCCCUCCAAUUAGGAGGUGUUACACUACAGUCUCUACUGGAUUACCCAAAUCCAUGAACCAAUAAUGGACAACUUAUCUACUUACAAGGAACCCAUGAAUUGUAUCUUCUAUGCAACCCCUAAUGAACUCAAAUCAUGUACAAUGUAAGAGAUAGAUUGAAUGCUCAAAUCAAUGUCAAUACAACAUGAAUUGUUACAUCAUGUCUUGCUUUUAGGAGGUCAAUCCCAACAAGUACUAUCUUCAUGCACUAUUUCUCCUUAAGUAUCUUAGGACACUUAUCUUAAGAGAACAGAACUUUAUGUCUAAAGGGUAGAAAACCCUUUUUGGAAUCCUACAUAGCAUACUUGACUCAAGUGGGUUGAGAUAGUGCAAGCUUCCUAUUCUUACAAUCUCCUAAGACCUUAAUCCUAGGAAUAGACUAUGCUUCUCUAGAUCUUUCAUCUGAAACUGAGUAGACAACUAGAUCUUGAUUGAUGAUAAUAACCUUAUAUCAUUCCUAAUGAGUAAAAUAUUAUCAGCAUAUAGGAUCAUGAAGACCAUCAUGCUUCCCUACACGUUCUUGUACACACAACGUUCAUUUUCAUUUUGAUCAAAAUCAAAGGUUUUGACCAACUAAUCAAAAUGCUUGUACUAUGAGAGAGAUACUUGCUUUAAUCCACAAAUGGAUUUAUGCAACUUGCACACCAAACACUCUUGGCUUUUACUAUGAAACCAUAUAGUUGCAUCAUUUAAAUGGUCUCACUAAGAUAGUCAUUUAAGAAUGCUUUCUUGAGAUCUAUUUAUCUAUCUCACAAUUGAGAUGUGUUGUAUUAGAUAAGAGUAUUCUCAUGGAUUUGAGAAUGGCUGCCAGUAAAAAAGUCUCUUUAUAGUCGAAACCAAAUUUCUGGCUAUAAUUCUAACCUUCUAUGUUUCAACCUUUCCAUCUACUCCUCUCUUCCUCUAGUAAACCCGCUUGCACCAUAUAGCUUUUAUCCAUUUAAGUGCUUCUACAAGCUUCUAGACUAUGUUAGAAUGCAUGGAUUCUAACUGCAUCCAUAGCUCCUAGCCAAAAAGAUGCAUCAACAUUGCUUAUUACUUCAUCAUAAUCUAUGGGAUAGAUCUCAUGUUCUUAAGGAAUUAUCUCAAAAGACUCUUCCUAAUACAUUAAUAGAUCAAGUUAUACAAAACCCCUACUAUGACGAAACAUUAGUAUACUAAAAAUGUUAGAAGUGGUAGGUACUAGAUCCAUAGUAUUUUGUGCUAUUGUGGGAGUGUAAUCUAAUACUCUUCAAUCAAUAUUACUGCUAAACUUAUUACUUAUCAUAUAGUCUUCUUUCAGAAAUCUAGCAUUUGUACUUACAAAUACUUUUUGAUCAAUUUGAGUGGAAAAGUAAUAGUCUGUCUACCCAAUUCUUCCUUGGAGGAGAUUAGCAAUAACACCAUGGAAUUGACCAAGGAUUUGGUCCAUUCAAAUCUCUCUCUUCAACUCACUCAACCAUGAAAGGCUCUAGGUUAUCUUGGGAAACUUCUACCAGAAGAUUUUUUUAAUCAAUUAAGAAAUUUAUAGUGGUGUUUGGGAUUUGAAAACAGAUGCAUUAUAGAGAGUGAAAAUAGUGAGAACUGAUUUUAGUUAACUUGGAUCAACACACUUUAAUGUCCUGUUGUUUGCCUUCUUUGAGGAUCCUAUCUAUGAGAUUGUUGAACAGGGACAUGCUUCAGUCCCCCAUGGUUAGGAAGAUCUAAAUAUUUAUCAUGUUGGAAGAAUUCGGCGCUAAACCUUUUCAAAAGGAUGGCUCUAUCUUUUUUGGGGUUCUAGAAUCAAGGAGAAACAAAAUAUUAUUGAUUUAUUUCACUUUUUGGUAUAUAGAGAGUGGACAUACUUAUCAUUUUUAUCAAAAACAAUCUUUGAAUAGGCUGCCUAGAGAUUGUUGUGUUAAUCUGUCAAUUUAUGUAUUGUCGUCUUGCCUCUUAAGGUGUUGAUGUCAUUCAGCUACAAAGCUUUGACACCCCGCUUGGCCACAGAAUUUCCCCUAAUACCUGGGUCCUGUCGUGGAGUGUAUAUUUUAUUCAAGUUUUUUCUCUUUCAAAGAUGUUCAAUAAAUUAUUCUUAUUACCUAUUAAAAUAAUCUAAAUAAUAUUUCUCUUGUGAAAGCUCAAACAUUCUUAUUGUUCCUCCUCUUUCUCCUCUGUUCUAUGUCAGUAGAUUUGAUGUUAUGCAUUCGUGCCUCAGUUUAUCAUGCAUUUUAUUAGCAACUGAUUAUGUAUCUGAAUUUUUUCAGCAACUCCAAGGAUUUCAUUGAAUCAGAAAGAAGACCUCAUUAUCUGGCCACCACUUGUCAUCAUCCAUAACAUUUCUAUUUUGAACAGUGAAGGCUGAUGCCCUUAUACUUUCAUGGGGGUGAACCUCUUAGUAUCAAAUGCCCUGGUUGCUUCCUUCAAGUCUUCUCACCAUUACAAAUCUAUAGUGCCCUUGCUAUGAUUUGAUGACUAUUUCAUUCUUAUUCCCUAGUCUCAAUAUUUUCCUUUCCUUCUUUUAUAUAAACCCAGGGCUAUCCAUCUCAAUUCUUUCUCUGAAAAUUGAGAUCAUAUAGGCUAAGUUUUAGCAUAUUAGGUUGGGUUGGAUUAUUGGCAAAGUGAUAACCUCUUUAGAUUAAAAGGUUUGGGUUUGUUUAGAAACUAUUCAUGAAAAUUGUCUUUUGUUCUAUAAUAGAAAAUAGAUUUUUAACUGAAAACAGUUUUUUAAAAAUAUGUUUUGAAAACAGAUUGGUCUUUUUAAAUGUUUUGAGGUGUUUUUUGUGGAGUAUUUUGAGAAAUAAUUGAAUAUAUGAAGAAUGUUUUCGGAAGUUUUGUAUUGUAAAUAAGUGCAUUAUAUCUGAUAAAAAAAAUAUGAGUGCAUUAUAACUUCAUAGAAAAUAAGUCGAUAAAAUUAUUUUUCAUAUUUGAGUUCUUAAGUAGAAUUUUAUUUUUAAAAAUAAUUGAGAAAUGUUUUUAAGAAUUUUUAUUAAAAAUUGAUUUUUGAGAAUUGGUUUUGAAAACACUGCCAAAUGGGCUUUUUGUGUUUACAUCUAGCCUAGCUCAGCUUAACUGAGCUGGUGCCCUAAUGCUCACUCUGGAUUUGGCUUAAAUAAAUCGGUGACGUGCACGGUUAAUUGGUUUUGGAAGCUGGUGUUAUGUUAUUCUGAUGUACUGCCUUCUCUUUUUGGGGUCUUAAUGGCAGUUGAAGGUUUUGGCGGGGGAAAAUUCAAGAUGUGCCUCGAUAGGCCUGCAGACCAUAGUGUUAUGGUGGUGAAGUUCUAGGGUACGUUUUCUGGACUGGAAGAUGCAGGAAGGCUUCAUGGGUAUUAUGCUGAGAAAAAUCAUGGAAGAGCAGAUCUUGAGAAAAUAAAUUACGACAAUGGCAAAAGCAGCAACAGUAGGGAAGCAGGAAUGCAACAAGACAAACCAGAGGAGGUUGUUCUAUAUGGGUACAUGGGAAUUGCAGAGGACUUGGACAAACUUGAUUUUGACACCAAGAGAAGUGUUUGAUUCAAAGCAAGCAGGAGAUCCAGGAGCUUGCAGAUGCCCCUGCUAAACCUGAUUAGAAGUAACUGUUCAGAUCCGUAAAUUAAAGAUAGAAUAAUCUUCUCUCCAAACCUAUGUCAGUUAUGUAAACAGAGCGGUUAUGUAACACUUCCUCGUCAGCUCUUUAUGAAUUCCCAUAAAACUAAAUUCAAAGUUUGCUAGUGGUGGACAGCUGCUGUUUGGGGGCACUUGGGUUUCCCUCUUUCUAAUGCAAUUUUCAGAUUGUUUUAACAUCUUUCUCGGAAUCAAUCUUACUUCUCGGAAAUUGGAUUAUGAUUGAAUGCCUUUUUAAGUCAGAAUUUCAAUUACCGACCCUCAAUAGAUCAAUUUCAAACUCAAGUCCCUGGGGCAGAGCAGGGUGCUGGGCUUGCCCGAUCGGAGUGCACCGAGAGCCCUCUGAUCCUUGUCCGCACAAUUCAUCGAGAUUUACCCUAUCUUGCUUCGAUUCCUCACUCCCUCCCAAAUCAACUACUCCCUUUCUUGGCACAACUCCGUUGGUCAAAACCAUUAAUAUUCAACCUACCAUUCAUUGACCAACUCCUCCUUUCAUUGGCACAACUCCAGUGAUCAAACUAUUAGUAUUCAACCUACCAUUCAUUAAGGGUCUCGAGUAGAAUAUGGCCCAUCCGAAGGUCUCCUUUCACAAAAUCUUAUUUUAUGUUUUUUUCUAAAGGAAGGAAUGGGAUUUUAACUAGAAGAUGGGUCCCCUAUAUCAGUACUGACAUUACCCAUUUGACAAAAAGAAAAGGGAUAUCAUCUCUAGGUACCCAAGAAUUUUACAAAUUACAAAGAAACAAUCAUUUUCUGAGACUUUCCUUUACCUCCUUUGGAAGUUAAUGAACUUAAUGCCAUAGGCAAAGACAAACAAGAAGAGGAGGACCCAACCAAUAUGAGCCAAGGCAACCGCUCUCAGGAAAUCAUAUUCAAAGCCUAAAGCCUCCUUAAGAUACUGCUUCACUGACAUGUCAUCUGCUCCAGGUACUUGAACCGGAUCCUCCUUGUCACCCACCUGAGAUGUCACCAGUCCAUAGAUGGUCCAAGCAACAGGGGAAGCCCAGUAGUACCACCUCCACCAUAUUGGUAUUUGCUGUAGAUGUACAGUUUGUUAGAAUUCAGUAUUUCUUCUACAAAUACAAACUCAAAUUCUUCGUAGGUAUACGCACCGUCCUAGGGAUGAGAAAACCAGAGAAGAGAUUCCAAAAGCUUAGGAAGAAGGACAUAAGAAUGGCAGCAAUUUGAUGGUUGGGAGUGAGCGCUACAAUCAUCAUUCCAUACAAUGUGAAGUAAAUAAAGCACAUGAGUAGGUAGUAGUAGAACCAUAAGAACUUGUCCACUCGCCAGUAGAAUCCUAUCAUAGAGUAGAGGAGAAGAGUGUAAACAAAAGUUUGGAUUGUGAUGUAAAUUGCCUCUAUGGCCACCUGCAGGGCAUCCAAAUACAAGAUUAGUUUAAAAUUAAGCUCUACUAGAAAUGUGUGUCUGUUUCUCAUCUGUUUUCUCAAAAGGCAACCUGGGCAAAUGCAUAAGGCAAAGCUGAAUACAUCCCAGCUGCCCUUUCGCGGUAGAAGACUGUUCUCUCAAUUGCCACAAUAGGCUGCACUGAAGCAGCGUUGGUGGCUCCAAGGAAGAAGACAGCUGCAAACAUAGCUCCCAGCAGAUUUAUUAGGUCUUGUUCUUUGUCUCUGCAUACAGUAGUUGGGGUGUUGGUUCACAUUUUUCCUUAAUUAUUAAUGGAGGAACACCAAAAUAAUAAAUUUGCAAUACUUACGUCUGCUCUCCUUCGUUCCAGAAAAUUAAUCCAAAUAGAACACCAAUAAUUAUGGUCAAGAAGAACCGGAGAGCAUUAUAGGGAGGAUUCCUCCAAUAAGACCAGUGCUGUUUCCAGAAGCAAGCCUUGCAUUGAGUAAUAAAGCUUUGAGAGUAUUUGGUGGGGAAAUAAAGGUCUUUGGAUCCUGGUGAUGGUGUGCUCAGCUCUUUGAUGAAUUCCUGAUUCCUCCUGCAACAAAAGGGGGAGUGUAAUAAGUCAUUGGAAAAAGAAUUGAGACAGAAAGAUGAUGUUCCAGGGAAUCAUAAUCCACUUACUGAUAGAGUUCAGAUUUAGCAUAAAUUUCUGCAAAAUCCACACCAAGUUGAGCCUCAACUGCAGCAGAGCUGAUCUCCAGCAUCCAUGUAGCAGGAUUUUGACCAUCUCUGACUUUAGGAACGCCCGGGACAGCCUGCAGCAAGUUAUGGAUUUGAUCAUGACACACUCCUAUAAGUAUAACAAUGGAGAUGGAGCAAGUUCACAGAAGAUGAAUAAUGCUCACUUCAAAGUACUCUACAAGCUUGUGAGAAUUGCGACCAAGAGGUCCAGCAUAAAUGAUUUGUCCUCCUCUCUUCAUCAGCAGUAGCUGCAGGCAAAAAUGAUGUUGGGUUGAAGAAAGGAAUGGUGACUCCAUGAUAAUCAUACCACUAACAAGUAUUAGAUACAAAACCAUGAAACUAAGAAAUACCUCAUCAAAAGCUUCAAAGAUGUCUAUGCUUGGCUGGUGAAUGGUGCAGACAACAGUCCGCCCUGUAUCCACCGUGUUUCUAACUGUACGCAUAACAACUGCAGCUGCUCUAGCAUCAAGGCCUGUCGUUGGUUCAUCCAUGAAGAUGAUGGAGGGGUUAGCAACCAAUUCUACAGCUACUGUCAGCCUCUUCCUCUGUUCUGUUGAAAGCCCAUCUAUUCCCGGAAGGCCAACCAAAGCAUUCCUCAGGGGGUGAAGCUCAACCAAAUCCAUUACUUCCUCAACAAACACCUAUAACACAGAAGGAACAAAAAAAAACACAACUGAUGUAUAUAGCUUGUAAGAGGGUGAACUAAAAGAAAAAUCAUUCAUUUGACAAAAGGACAUGCCUGCCUUGUUUCCUUUUUGACAUCCGGAGCAAGGCGCAGCCAGGCAGAGUAAACAAGAGAUUCAUAAACAGUUACAUUUGGAGAAUGUAUAUCAGUCUGCUCACAGUAACCACUAAUACGAGCAAAAGUUGCUUGGUUUUUGGGGUAACCAGAAAUGCUGAUACUUCCUUCAAUGUACCCACUAGUUUUCCUUCCUGCUAACACAUCCAUCAAAGUGGUCUUUCCAGCACCACUAACACCAACUAAUGCCAUUAGAAUACCUGGCCUGAAAGCACCGCUAGCAUCCCGCAGCAGUUGGAGAUGAUCCGCUUCAUUUCCUUGGCUCUUCAUUCCCUGUGAUUGAAUCCAUAAAAAAGUUUCAAAGCUCUAGACCAAGAUCAUAUCCUAACCUAUAUAUUAGUCUCACUUGUGUGUCUAAGUACUCAAAACAAGUUACUUACAGCAGGCAUAUCAACAUAGUAAUUCACAUGCUCAAAUGCAAGCGAUAAGGGCUGGAAGGGCAACACCAUUCCCCUUUUAGUAAGUGCAUGAUUUGCAUCUUUGACAACUGCUUUGGUGUUUUCUCUAGUGUUCCUUACUUCCAUAUCAAUACCUGUUACCAUAGACCUAACAUCAGCUACCAGAUAAAGAAAAUCUGAUGUUUAUGUUAUUUGCAAUGUCUAGUAUCACUAGCCUCUUCAAGAAGUGAUCAAGAAGAAUUUUGUGAGGGUCAGGUAAAAAUCUGGUGUCUCCUAGAGAAGGAGAACCAAUAGCAAGAAGCAAGUAUUAUGCAAUAUAAUUUCCCAAGAGCAAGUUCAGAAAUUGUAGCAACAUAAUAGUUGAUGAAACAUUGUUAAUAGCAACAUCUUCUCCUCUCUGCAAAGGGAAAUUUGAUUUUAGGCUAUCAUGCUACUGGUUUUCGGCAUUGAUAAACCCCUCAGUUUAUUGAAAAUGAACACCAUAAGGUGGCAAUCAGAGGGGAGUUGAUUCAAAGGAAAAACUAGAUAUUGAAUGAUUGUUGAAUGGAAACUGUAUAUGGACCUAAUGCUUGGUUAAUAAAAUAUAUAGAAACGCUAGAAGACAAACAAACAACCAAAAACCAGAGGAGAUCAAAGUAAGUAAAAUCUUGAACCUUCAGACAUUGGGGCAGUAGAUGCUGAAUUUCUUUCUGGGGUGGUCAGAUCAUGCUGUUUGUUAGAGUAAAACUGCUUCUCACUCUUUUCUUCAUUUUCCUCAUCAAUAAUGACAGAUUUUGAGUCUCCCAGAGCUGCAUUUGAGUUUCAGAAAAUUGUCAAAACUAGAAUCUUAUUUAAAUAAUACCUAGUUCUGACUGAUGGAUGAUAAUUCCAUGACCAAAACCUUUGGAGGAAGGAAAAAGGAAAAUGAAGGUUAGUAUAAGCAAUAACUUACGGUCCAAAUAUGUCAGAGCUGCAAUGAAACAGAUAUUGAAGAGCAGAGAAAACCCCAGGAGUGCACCAACAGAAAUCCAAUACCAAUAGCCAUCCACAAACAUGCCUCUUGCCUUGAGAAGAGCUUUUCCAACUGUGGGUUCUGGAAUUCUUGUAUAGAUGUUGGGCUGUGCCAAAAACCGAGUAGUGUAUACAAAGACAGACCAAGUAAUGAAGGCAGAAAUGCCCAAGCUAAAACAAAGUGAGAACAACCAUUCAAAACCUCCUAAGAAACCUUACCGUGCUCCAUCUGUCAUCAAGAAAUUCAUUGAUGACAAGGGCAUUUUGUCCAUACAUCAUUGGAGAAGCAUAAUAUCCCCAUAUCAUCCAUGGUUUAAUAUCAUCUAAGGAAGAAGGAGAAAGAAAUGGUUUAUUACAUUAUCAAUCAUAAAAUACAAUCACAUAAAGAGUGCCCCUCUCCCUUUCCAUUUGAAAUAAGCCAUCAGUGUUACAAAAACGAUCAGCUCACUGCAUAGCAAAAAGACACAAAAUACUGACCUUUCGAUACAACGAAUCCACCCAGAACAGAAACCAAUAGCAAUGUAAAGGUGGCAAGAGUGUUGGCCACAAUCAGUGUUCUUCCAAGUGCUGCAAUGAAGCGGAAAAGAGAUAGGGCCAUCUGAUGCACGACAAAGAAUGCCAGCAAUUGACGGAAAAACCUGAGCAUUAUUCCAAGUCUUGGGUUGUCAUAGUUCCAUUUGUGAAAGCUAAAACACAAGUAAGGAAGAAUGAAGGUCCAUUCACAUACCUACUAGCAGCAGGGGCAUACCCAAUAGUGUAAUACGUGAGAAUGAUCCAUAUCCCUGACUCCAUCAGUGACAAGGGGAUCCUAAGGACCCAAAUUGGUAGUGCAAAAGCCCAUGCCGGGUAAAACAAGAAAUCCCUCUGCUUAAAAAACACUGGGAGCCUGAAAAUAGUCAAUGCAAGUUCUGCCAGUCCGUUAAACAUUACAUUUAUGAGACUAUAAAACAGAGCCCCAUAGAAUUUUACUCCAUCUUGCAGUUGGCCAUGCUUCAUUUCUGUUCUGAAGAACACUGUCAUGGCAAUUACUGACAUGAUUGUAAUCUGGGUUGUCUUGAAUAUGUAUAUAAAAGAGUUGCGCUUCAUUAAUAGCCACUCCCUGGCAAAGCAUGCCUUGAAGAGUUCCCAGUUGGAGAUUCCAUACUUUUCUGUCACCAAUGCUGCAGGAUGGGUUCUGCUCCUAUCGUAAGGGAUUCCAAAGUCGUCUGAAAGCUUCUGGCCAAUGUGGAAAGAGUUGAAAUGUUGCACAAACUCGGGCACCGAGAUAUAUCUGUAAGGUUCAUUCUUUCUGAACCAGUAUUGUUCUUGGUCCUUUCUGGAAGUCACCUCUUGCAAGAAGUCUGCAACUCCUUUUCUUUCCGGGCAUUUGAAGCCUAUGCUUUCAAAGAAUUCAAGGAUGUUUUCACGGGGACCUUGGUACACAAUUUGGCCCUCACAUAGUAAGAUAAUGCCAUCAAAAAGAUCAUAAGUUUCAGGUGCAGGUUGGAGAAGAGAGAUUAUCAUGGUUACUUCCAUGAUAUGAACCAUCUGCCUCAUAAACUUGACAACCUGAAAAGUGGUGGAACUGUCCAGACCAGUUGAUAUUUCAUCCAUGAAAAGAGCCUUUGCUGGUCCA
rnacentral:lncRNA from 1 species